rnacentral:rRNA from 1 species
GACGAACGCUGGCGGCGUGCUUAACACAUGCAAGUCGAGCGGUAAGGCCCUUUCGGGGGUACACGAGCGGCGAACGGGUGAGUAACACGUGGGUGACCUGCCCUCAGCUCUGGGAUAAGCCUGGGAAACCGGGUCUAAUACCGGAUAUGACUCCAUGACGCAUGUUGUGGGGUGGAAAGCCUUGUGCGGCUGAGGAUGGGCCCGCGGCCUAUCAGCUUGUUGGUGGGGNGAUGGCCUACCAAGGCGACGACGGGUAGCCGGCCUGAGAGGGCGACCGGCCACACUGGGACUGAGACACGGCCCAGACUCCUACGGGAGGCAGCAGUGGGGAAUCUUGCGCAAUGGGCGAAAGCCUGACGGAGCAACGCCGCGUGGGGAGGACGCUUUUCGGAGUGUAAACCCCUUUUCUCAGGGAAGAUGAUGACGUACCUGAGGAAGAAGGACCGGCUAACUACGUGCCAGCAGCCG